rnacentral:rRNA from 1 species
CGUGUAGGCGGUUCGGUAGGUGGAAUGUGAAAGCCCCCGGCUUACCCGGGGAACUGCAUCCCAUACUGCUGGACUUGAGUGCGGGAGAGGAUGGAGGAAUUCCUGGUGUAGCGGUGAAAUGCGUAGAUAUCAGGAGGAACACCUGUGGCGAAGGCGUCCAUCUGGCCCGUUACUGACGCUGAUGCGCGAAAGCUAGGGGAGCAAACG